UGUUUCUUUAGAUUUUCUAGACUUGGUUUUUUUUCAAUAAAAUAUUUCAUGAAAAAAAAUGAUACGAGUAAGGAAAUUUAACAGUAAAAGAAGAAAAGGAAAAGAAUAUGAUUAAUUAUUAUACACAAAGAACUAUCGAGUCGAAGGACAGAGUUAAUGGAUCGUCUUUUAUCACAUGCAGAGCCUUCAAGGGCCAUCUCCCCUGCAAGAACUUGAGAUUAAUGACUAGUAUAGCAGUGAGUGAAGAGUACCCUCCCAGCGAGUCAAUUCUGGAGUUGAGAUCUAGUGGAGCCAGCGGAAGAGUCGAGCUCUGGGAAUAUAAUUUUUUAUUGAACAUUAGAAUAGUAACUCACCCCUCAAAACUUUCUGUUCAGACACCGCCACUGCCCACCGAGUUCUCUUCCUUUACCUCGUUUCUUCACGAAGAAGACGACUGAUCCUGUUGUUGUCGAUGCAAGUAGUGAGAUCAUGAAGCUUUUAGGGCUUAGUUCGUAGUUUGAUUUAGUUUUUUUCUUUUUUGGGGUCUUGAAGCUGUUGCUGCUGGUGGAUUCGAGGUUGAAGAUUAUUAUUAUAAUUGAAUUUCUCGACUAUGGUGUUUGUUGGCGUCAUUCUGUGUGAGCAAAGGUCUCAACAACUCGUGACCGAAGAGACUAAUGCAUAUCUCCCGUUGUGAGCACUAAAUAUUGUGCUUGGUCCAGGUGAUGUAUAAGAAGAGUCUUUGGACAUGUCUAAUAGCUAAACCAAAAUCAAGCAGGCAGCUGGAUAGUGAAAACAACACACAGCGUCAGCCAAACAAAAAAUAGCCAGCCAUGUGAUUGCUUUGGAUAUCAUGACAACAGCAGUAUAAUCAACACAACAAUGGUAAACUCUUAAGGGUUUCUCUGGAAGAACAAGAAACACGGCUACAAUAGAGAGAAACAACAACGAUGGGUGAAAAACAGCUACCAGCGCCUUCAACAGCAACGAUACAAUCAGGGGCGGAAGCAGGGGGGGGCGAGCAGGGGCCCGGGCCCCCCCUGCAAUACUUGCCCCUGCAAUAUUUAUCCCUGCAAUUCUUUUUUUUUUUUUUAUAUUGGGUGAUUAGGUAAUUAAAAUGGAGAAAGUGUUAUAUUUUUUAUUUUAAAAAGGUGGCUCUUCUAAAUUAAGUGUGAUUUUAUUUUUUA